GCACGUAGUUAGCCGGUCCUUCUUCUUCGGGUACCGUCAUCGACGCGGAAUGUUCGUCCGCGCCAUUUCGUCCCCGCCGAAAGAGCUUUACAACCCGAAGGCCUUCUUCACUCACGCGGCAUGGCUGGAUCAGGCUUUCGCCCAUUGUCCAAAAUUCCCCACUGCUGCCUCCCGUAGGAGUCUGGGCCGUGUCUCAGUCCCAGUGUGGCUGGUCGUUCUCUCAAACCAGCUACGGAUCGUCGCCUUGGUAGGCCGUUACCCCACCAACUAGCUAAUCCGGCAUCGGCCACUCCUAUAGUGUGAGGCCUUGCGGUCCCCCACUUUCAUCCGUAGAUCGUAUGCGGUAUUAGCCUCGAUUUCUCGAGGUUGUCCCCCGCUACAGGAAAUGUUCCGAUGUAUUGCUCACCCGUUCGCCACUCUACUCGGGGUUGCCCCCUUUCGCGUUCGACUUGCAUGUGUAAGGCAUGCCGCCAGCGUUCAAU
rnacentral:rRNA from 1 species